rnacentral:snoRNA from 1 species
UUUUUUUCAUGAUGAAGUAAUUUUAUUAACAGUUAUCCCUGUCUGAAUGACACAAAUAUUAAAAAUGAGGAAAAAUGUUAAUCUGAAAACUUU